CAAAGUCUUGAUGUAGACAGAUGAGUUAGUGCUGCUCUCCCUUUCCCGGCUGGGCCUCAAAAAACUCUUGGAAGUGAUCAGCACAUACUGUAAACAGGAAAAGUCCUACUGUCUAUGCAGAAGUAAGGUCCUAUUAGAUUCAGCAGGGCUUACUCUUAGGCUAAACAUACCCAGCUCCUUCCAGUGCUCCUCAUAAAGCUUGGUUUUCAGACCCUUGAUAAUCUUGGUUGCCCUCCUCUGCACACAUUCCAGCUUGUCAACAUCCUUCUUAAAUUGUGG